AGGACAGAUCAGAUUCAUUGAAUC
rnacentral:miRNA from 1 species